rnacentral:rRNA from 1 species
UGGGGAAUCUUGGACAAUGGGGGCAACCCUGAUCCAGCGACGCCGCGUGGGUGAAGAAGGCCUUCGGGUUGUAAAGCCCUUUCGCCGGGGACGAUGAUGACGGUACCCGGAGAAGAAGCACCGGCUAACUCCGUGCCAGCAGCCGCGGUAAGACGGAGGGUGCUAGCGUUGUUCGGAAUCACUGGGCGUAAAGGGCGCGUAGGCGGCUUUGGCAGUCGGAUGUGAAAGCCCGGGGCUCAACCUCGGAGGUGCAUCCGAUACUCUGGAGCUUGAGGUCGGAAGAGGAGGGUGGAAUACCCAGUGUAGAGGUGAAAUUCGUAGAUAUUGGGUGGAACACCGGUGGCGAAAGCGGCUCUCUGGUCCGGACCUGACGCUGAGGCGCGAAAGCGUGGGGAGCAAACAGGAUUAGAUACCCCCGUAGUCC